AGGGAGGACCCAGGCCGCAGGGGCAACAGCCCAGACACCUGGCAGAGACGGAGCUGAGACCCGUGGGAACUCGCAGUGGCAGAGAACUCUUCCAGGCAUCGCAGGGCCAGCGUGUCGUCCACGAGCAGGUCCAGCUUCAGUUCCUGCUUCACCCGCGGAGCCAGGUGGGGCUUACCUGGCAGUACAGGUAGUAGAGCCCAGCCCGGGUGACUGUGAAUGCCCCGCUCCGGCCGUCAUAGCGCAGCGGGUUGGAGCUGUUGAUCUUGGCCUCCUCCCAGCCACUCACCGUCCCGUCCACACCUGAACGCAGACGUUCAAAGAGAGGGGCAGGUCCCCGCACAGGACUCGCACGGUCCCCAGGCACCCUCGGAGCUGGUGAACCCUGAGGGCCCACCUGACCCAGAAGAUCCACAGAUGGCCCAGGACAAGGGAGGACCCAUGGCCUCGGGGGCCCAUCGUGCCAUGGGAAGUUACGUGAGGAAACCUGACCUAGCAACCAAAAGAGAAAAGAAGAACAGAAACUAGAAGCAUUUUGAGAAAAAUGAUCCGCGCAUGAAGAUAUGGAGGGGAAGGACAGGAAAAAAUCAAAGGCUGGGAGUGGCGCUUGGGACCUGGAAGCUCAACAGGGACCUGGGAGCUCUACAUCCUCUACACCCGGGAGCUGCCUAUUGUCAUGGAAAGAUUAACAACCUUGUUGCAGAAACCUGAGGCACCAGCCUUUUACAUACUCCCAGGCAUUUGCAGACCCGCAGCCCGCAUUGCCUGUAAACUGUCCAUUUUGCAUACCCAUUCUUAUCCUUUUUUGCCUACUUCCCCAAGUAAUCUUUGUGACAGGUGAAGUAUGGUAGCAAUCAUCUCAGGUAGAAACUGUAGUUUAACUCUAACCCUGCUGUUCGGCUUA